rnacentral:rRNA from 1 species
CUUGGUGACCAUAGCGCUUUGGACCCACCUGACUCCAUGCCGAACUCAGUAGUGAAACGAAGCAGCGCCGAUGGUAGUGUGGGGUCUCCCCAUGUGAGAGUAGGACAUCGCCAGGC